UCUGUUUUCCUGAUGCAUUAUUAAAGAAGUCAGUUUAUCUGUUUACAUUUAUUAUGCAGGUGCUAUUGUCAUGCAGGAGAUAUUGACCUUGCUCUUCAAACUUUUGAGACUCACAUAAACGAGGGAAGGCCUAUUGCUGCAGAACUUUUUGUGACCCUUGCAGAAGGGGCAAUGACUGGGUACACUGAGAAAGGAAUGCAAAUUGCUCAAGAUAUUCUGGUAAGGAUGAACGAAAGAAAUUAUUUUGUGAAUAGCAAAUUGGGAAGUGAGCUCCUGCUUGUAGCUGCUGGAGAAAAGACCGGGGAUAUACCACUGCUAACUACAUAUGGGACAUGAUGCGAGUUCGGAAAAUUAACCCUUCAUUUCCUGCAGUAGAAGCAUAUUACCAAGGCUUAAAAGAUCGAGAGAUACCUGAAGAUGAUCCAAGACUUCUUAUGGUUUCUAAAACAUAUGACAGAAUGAAUAGAUUCGGGAACAGACCAACUUAAAGUCAUACUACUGAAGUCAUCAGAAUUAUUUGUUUGAUUCAUGUAUGGCAUGGUACGUAGAUCCCAUUGUACUUUAGGAGAUUAUGUAGAGCACUUUUUACCAUUUUCCAACAUUUGAUAGAUCAAGGUUUUCUUUUUUGAAAUAAUUAUUUCUUUGUAAUACGAGGUACCAUUGAUGUUAAGUUAUUAUUUCAAUGUCAAUGUCAAUGUCAUUGCAGACUCUAAAGUUGGCUAUAAAUUGUAAUUUACAUUGAUAAUUGUUUGCUUCA